rnacentral:rRNA from 1 species
GGGGAAUAUAGCGCAAUGGGCGAAAGCCUGACGAAGCGACGCCGCGGGAGGGAGGAAGGUUCGCGGAGCGUAAACAACUGUCAUAAGGGAAGAAAGCGCACCGCGCUAAUCAGAGGUGAAUUGACGGUACCUUCAAAGGAAGCCGCGGCUAACGCCGUGCCAGCAGCCGCGGUAAUACGGAGGGUGCAAGCGUUAAUCGGAAUUACUGGGCGUAAAGCGCACGUAGGCUGCUUUGUAAGUCAGGGGUGAAAUCCCACGGCUCAACCGUGGAACUGCCUUUGAUACUGCUUAGCUUGAAUCCGGGAGAGGGUGGCGGAAUUCCAGGUGUAGGAGUGAAAUCCGUAGAUAUCUGGAGGAACAUCAGUGGCGAAGGCGGCCACCUGGACCGGUAUUGACGCUGAGGUGCGAAAGCGUGGGGAGCAAACA